rnacentral:tRNA from 1 species
GGAGCGGUAUCGAAGUGGUCAUAACGGGGCUGACUCGAAAUCAGUUUGGAUUAAUAAAUCCACGUGGGUUCGAAUCCCACCCGCUCCGCCA